rnacentral:rRNA from 1 species
ACGGGGUGCAGCAGGCGCGAAAACUUUGCAAUGUGCGAAAGCACGACAAGGUUAAUCCGAGUGGUUUCUGCUAAAGAAACCUUUUGUUAGUCCUAGAAACACUAACGAAUAAGGGGUGGGCAAGUUCUGGUGUCAGCCGCCGCGGUAAAACCAGCACCUCAAGUGGUCAGGAUGAUUAUUGGGCCUAAAGCAUCCGUAGCCGGCUCUGUAAGUUUUCGGUUAAAUCUGUACGCUUAACGUACAGGCUGCCGGGAAUACUGCAGAGCUAGGGAGUGGGAGAGGUAGACGGUACUCGGGAGGAAGUGGUAAAAUGCUUUGAUCUCUCGAUGACCACCUGUGGCGAAGGCGGUCUACCAGAACACGUCCGACGGUGAGGGAUGAAAGCUGGGGGAGCAAACCGGAUUAGAUACCCGGGUAGUCCCAGCUGUAAACUAUGCGAACUCAGUGAUGCAUUGGCUUGUGGCCAAUGCAGUGUUGCAGGAAGCCGUUAAGUUUGCCGCCUGGAAGUACGUACGCAAGU